AGUGAACGCUGGCGGUAGGCCUAACACAUGCAAGUCGAACGGCAGCACAGUAAGAGCUUGCUCUUACGGGUGGCGAGUGGCGGACGGGUGAGGAAUACAUCGGAAUCUACUUUUUCGUGAGGGAUAACGUAGGGAAACUUACGCUAAUACCGCAUACGACCUACGGGUGAAAGCAGGGGAUCUUCGGACCUUGCGCGAUUGAAUGAGCCGAUGUCGGAUUAGCUAGUUGGCGGGGUAAAGGCCCACCAAGGCGACGAUCCGUAGCUGGUCUGAGAGGAUGAUCAGCCACACUGGAACUGAGACACGGUCCAGACUCCUACGGGAGGCAGCAGUGGGGAAUAUUGGACAAUGGGCGCAAGCCUGAUCCAGCCAUACCGCGUGGGUGAAGAAGGCCUUCGGGUUGUAAAGCCCUUUUGUUGGGAAAGAAAAGCAGCAGGUUAAUACCCCGCUGUUCUGACGGUACCAAAAGAAUAAGCACCGGCUAACUUCGUG
rnacentral:rRNA from 1 species